UACGGAGGGUGCGAGCGUUGUCCGGAAUCACUGGGCGUAAAGGGCGCGUAGGUGGCGCGGGCAGUCAACGGUGAAAGUUCGGGGCUCAACCCUGAAUCGGCCGUCGAUACUCCCGGGCUUGAGCACUGUAGAGGCGGGUGGAAUUCCGGGUGUAGCGGUGGAAUGCGUAGAGAUCCGGAAGAACACCAGUGGCGAAGGCGGCCCGCUGGGCAGUGGCUGACGCUGAGGCGCGACAGCGUGGGGAGCAAACAGG
rnacentral:rRNA from 1 species